rnacentral:lncRNA from 1 species
UCCGACAAGCAUGAUUUCGAUCCUCUCUUCAUCCGAGAUUCACGAUCCUGAGGUCUCUAAAAAAGCACAAAGAUUCUUAGUCCGAGUAACGUAAAUUUUAAUGGAUAUGUUACCUUUCUUUAAAUAGUGUAGUUUAUGCCUAAGGUAUGAUUGUUUAGCACUCGUGUCGGCUGCAAAGAGGUCUGUUGCCGGGGUCCAAACGUCGCAGGCUGACUUAGUAUCGAUGAAGGACGGUAAAAGUGAUGC